CGGAGGGAAACCGAGUCUUAAUUGGGCGUUAAGUUGCAGGGUAUAGACCCGAAACCCGGUGAUCUAGCCAUGGGCAGGUUGAAGGUUGGGUAACACUAACUGGAGGACCGAACCGACUAAUGUUGAAAAAUUAGCGGAUGACCUGUGGCUGGGGGUGAAAGGCCAAUCAAACCGGGAGAUAGCUGGUUCUCCCCGAAAGCUAUUUAGGUAGCGCCUCGUGAAUUCAUCUCCGGGGGUAGAGCACUGUUUCGGCUAGGGGGCCAUCCCGGCUUACCAACCCGAUGCAAACUGCGAAUACCGGAGAAUGUUAUCACGGGAGACACACGGCGGGUGCUAACGUCCGUCGUGAAGAGGGAAACAACCCAGACCGCCAGCUAAGGUCCCAAAGUCAUGGUUAAGUGGGAAACGAUGUGGGAAGGCCCAGACAGCCAGGAUGUUGGCUUAGAAGCAGCCAUCAUUUAAAGAAAGCGUAAUAGCUCACUGGUCGAGUCGGCCUGCGCGGAAGAUGUAACGGGGCUAAACCAUGCACCGAAGCUGCGGCAGCGAACGUAUCACCCAAGACAACUUUACGGAGUUGACGAUUGACGGAGCGAAGCGACGUCAAAGCGUUCAUUAAAGUCGAGUUGGCUUAGGGAUACGUUCGUUGGGUAGGGGAGCGUUCUGUAAGCCUGUGAAGGUGUGUCGUGAGGCAUGCUGGAGGUAUCAGAAGUGCGAAUGCUGACAUAAGUAACGAUAAAGCGGGUGAAAAGCCCGCUCGCCGGAAGACCAAGGGUUCCUGUCCAACGUUAAUCGGGGCAGGGUGAGUCGACCCCUAAGGCGAGGCCGAAAGGCGUAGUCGAUGGGAAACGGGUUAAUAUUCCCGUACUUGGUGUUACUGCGAAGGGGGGACGGAGAAGGCUAUGUUGGCCGGGCGACGGUUGUCCCGGUUUAAGCGUGUAGGUGUGUGUUCCAGGUAAAUCCGGUUCACUUUAACACUGAGGCGUGACGACGAGGCACUACGGUGCUGAAG
rnacentral:rRNA from 1 species